UAUAAAUAUCCCCUUUAUUCUCGUUUUCCGUUUUCUUUUCGAGCGUCUACAGAGAUCAAACAUCAAAUUGCUCUGCUUCUUCGUAGCCUGGUACAACCGUUUUUGGUCUCCUCGCGUGAGGCAUCACAUACAAUCCAUUCUCCUCCUCAGGAAAUGUCAUUUCGGAAGCUAUUUCUCAGAUCCGUUUGGUUGGCUUUAAUCGGCGGGGAGAAGAAAACUGGAAAAGGCUAGAGUCCGAGCGCAACUGUUCCUAUGUGCCUUUGAAUUGCUAGGUCAUCUUGUUUCUAGCGUCUUCUUAUGAACCGAACGAAGCAUUACGAUGUAGAAUCGGUUUAUUGCAGAAUUCGUUUUCCAUUACUGCUUGAACAAUUUGCUGUAGCUGAGCAGGAGAGAUUCAAGGCGCAGAAAUGUAUUAAGCGUAUAGAGCAUAUUGGGAAGCAUUUUUGAAAAGAAGAGACAUCCCUAUCUCAAGGGUCCAAGAUUCAUUCUUUCCAUGAUUGUUGUUUGGCAUUGUUCUUUCAGCAUGGCAGGUAAAUAGAAAGGUUUGUGGUGCAUCUCUUUUUAGCAAAAUAAUUUACAUCUACAAUUAUCAUUCUCUGUCUCCGACCAGGAACAAACAUGCAUGCUCCUAUCACCUAGAUAGUAGCAUUGAUGGGUAGUACUAAUACGUCCAAAUUCAAUAUUAUUCUGGAUGUAAUAAACAAAGCCAGUAAUUCAUUUGGCCAGUUCCCAAGUCAAACAGCUGCGAAACCCCAACUGCACUGUCCCAAACCCCUCCCGCCCCUCCCCACUCCACAUUCUACAAAUUAAUCUUCAUCAUCGUAUCAGAAGCUUUACAGAUAGGAAAUCUCUGUGUCUCAAAAAUCAUUCAUGAUCGACUGCCUAAUGUCUGACUGAAAGGGAAGAAAAAAUAAUAUGGUCUUAGAUGUUAAAGAAUACCUUGACUUCAGAAGUCGGGAUUCCAAGCUGAUGGUUCUCCUCUUUUGUUUUGUUAUAUCGUUCUAUUAGUGCUUUCAUGCUGGUAAGACAGUCAAUAAUUCAUGAGUUAGAGAUGAAGUUCUCUUCCUUUUUCCUGAAAUGGAUUAAUGAAAUUUCCAAGAAAUAAACAUUUAUUCAGAAGACAUGGAAAGUAGUAAACUUAACGACUACCUUAUAAGCAUUAUCAAUUAGAUGACCCUAGCUACUCCUUGAUUCUUUCUAAUUUAGUUUUCCCAGUUAAACCUUUAUUUACCUUUUCGAGAUUCUCCUCAGAGUUCUAUGGAUAAAAUUCAAAUUUGCUAGUAGGUGGAUUUUAAUUUGUAAUUGCAGGAUACAUUUGAAGGAUGGUAAAUAGGGUAGCCUAAUAAUUGAACCUUCCUUGUUAUUUAGUUCAACUAGAAUAAACAAGAAAACCAAUCUAUCCUAGAAUAUUCAAUGUUCAAUUCAACAAACAAAUUUUAGAAAGUUCACCAAUUAUAUAGAUAACAAUGAAAUAAUAUUGAGAACCAUCUUCAAAAGAAGAUAUGGUCACCAAUAAACAUAACGGGGAGAUCUCGAAUAGGACAAAGAAAAACCAGGUCCCAACAUCAGACUUCAACUAGGAAAAUCCAGAAAAUCCCGACCAGGUUGCACUAAGAUAAAAAACAAUUAGUGCAGCAAUUUGGGCUGAUAGAGAUCCAAGGAGUGCGACUUCAAAGCUUGUCAAAUGUAUUAUGUUGUACAUGUGCCUCAACUCUAAAAAGAAGAAUUUCUGUAUUUCACCACCUUGGUGGAUAAUGACCUUUGCCUUUCCAAACAGAUAGGAUGAGGUCUUCACGACCAGUAUCUACUCUUGAUGAUAGACUUCUAUUAAGCGAUCUUGAAGAAAAGACACCACAUUUUCCCAAGUUCCAGCACCAAAUAUCUAUGGUCUCAUAAAGAAUAAUCACCUCAAAAGCUCUUGUCUGAAAAUAAAGAAUAAAUCACCUCAAAAUCAACAAUAACGUUGGCCCAAUCCUCAAUUUGUCUGUCUGGUCACGUUUCUUCUUCGAUAAAUAUUCCAGGAUUCUCGCUCAGAGAAAAACAAAGGCAACCCUCACCAGCCAAAAAACAAAUUUCACAUUUUCUAUACCUUAAGAGAAUAGCAGAAUCCAAAACUAUCUCUGGGCCUCAGAUGAAAUGGAACUCUGUAUUACCUCAUGGCAGGUAUGGCACGGAGAUAUUGGUAGUUCCAUGAAUGACCAGGCAUAGUGGUUUGACAUGGCAGAGCCAAUGAUAUUGAGAUAAAACUUAGGUCGGGAGUGAUGUGUUCAAGAGGGAUAGCAGUUUCAAUUGCCAAGUGCUAAAUUUUAUCUAUCAUCUACUGGCUAUCAUUUAACCCAUCUAAUAGUUCUACACUUAGGCUUAGAUAACAACAAAAUGGAACGAAGUCAGAUUUAAAAAAUAAAAAAUUUAAAACUAAAUGGUUAUGAAACUAUGACUUAACAUAACAAUUGAAUAUCUCUGUUUCCUAUCAGAGAGAUAAUAGGUUCCUAUGAUCCCCAACGGAUUGGUCCAUUGACUUUAUCUUUCUACCCCUUCUCUCGUAAGUGAAUAAUUGGAGGUUUCAUAAUAAUCGAGCUUGAAACUCAUCCUGUCUUCAAGGUGAAACAAAGGAAAUUGUCCAAAUUCAUUAAACUGAAAACAUGCCCGGGUAGGUCAAAAUCAUGAUUAGAGGUUAAGCUGGGGAAACCCUCUGGUUUACAGUAGGUCAAUAUUAUGAUUAUUUUAAAGUGGGGAAUCUACUGGUUUAUAUGAGAAACAAAAUUUCAUUAACGAGAUGGAACUAUGAGGCAAAAGUUAAAGGAGUUGGGGAGGAGUUUUCUUCAAUUAGCACGAAUCACUUGGAACCUAUUUCAUUUUUUAAUUAUAGACGAGAUUUUCAAUGUGUAAUUGAAAAGUGAUCAAUACUUUAAGAUACGAACUCUUCAAGUGAGUGGAAAAAGAACUUAAUGGAACACAAUAAGAACCAUCAAAGAGAUUCAAUAGAGAGGGGGAAAGCCCAUACAACAACAAAACACUUCGUGAAUAAAACAAAGAAAAACUUUCUAAGAAUGAGACUCAUUAUUCAGCCUGAAUAACCAAACCCAACACGAAAGACCAAGCCAAAAGACAACUCUUGAGAACCAUAAAACCCCUGAAACAGAUGGCCCAGAACAGGGAAGCAUGAAAGAAGUUCCAACCAAAUAGAAAAACCAUCAAGUAAAGAGCAGAACUGAAACCAAAAACACCAAGAGAGAACCACUGAACCCAAACCUGUAGAGAACAAACGAACAUAAAAAUUGAUUACCUUGUGAAUUCAUGCAAGGAACUGCUCGCAUCUCAAGACCACAAGCUGCAUUCAAAGCCUAUAUUAUUUAUAAAAUGACUUGAGUGAUGUAGUUGGUGGUAGAGGUGCAAAAAUUCAGUUCUACCGAUUGACCUGCCUCUCUUCUAAUAAAAGAAGUUUCCCCUUCUCUUCUUACUACAAUGACCAUAAAAUUGUUCCUAACAGCAUUAAGCCACAUUUCUUUCCAGUGUAAAAAAUGUCUCUUCCAAAGCUUCAUAAUAGGAUGUCAAAGAUAGAGGAACUGAUAUAGUAAGAAUUCUCUAGAUGUGAUUUUUAUGGAAGGAACCAGGUGUACUUCUUUCAAACUCUCCGGGCUAUGCUUGUUAAUUAGCAUAAAACAUCAAACAUACCCUUCAGAGCGAUUCACACCCACCUUGACAUCUUUGUAUUAAGGCUCCUUUUAGAUUAUGAAUUAAAGAUUAAUAAGAUUUUGACACAGAUUAAGGAAUACAGAAGCUCUUGUCAAAAUGGAUGAAAUGACAAAAGUCACUUAGCACACAUAAUGGCAAAGGCAAGCAACGAGGAGCUGUAUAUAACAUUAAAACUUGUAAGUUGUAAUUUGUAAUUGUUUGCCGAAGGACAAUUUCUCUUAGAUGGAAAUCUGCAUGGUUAUUUAACCAGUGGUGAUAUGGAAAAGUCAGUAAAAAGACGUUUUCGGUAAUUAGAUGGGAUCUACCCCUAAAUCUUGCUCUUCCUUAGAGACGUUUUUAAUAUUAUCUCUACAUUUUUUAACCACUACGGAUUGGCCUAGUAGUUAUAUUUCAACUAAUUAAAAGGUCAUGGAUUCAAUCGAUGGGGUUACCAUCUAGGAAAAUGUUCUACAACUUUUUUUGACACUCAAAUGUUAUAGGAGAAAACGAGUUGUUCCAUAAAACUAGUUGAGGUGCAUGUAAACUGGUGUAGAUAUUCACAUAUGUGUGUAGAUAUUCACAUUCCUAAGCAUGAUUUGAUUUGUUUAGGUUGUAAACUUCUUUCCAUCACCAAAUAUCAGAAAUUUGUUGGAUUGGUCAAUUACAAGUGGCACAAAUCUUCAAUAGAUAGAAAAGUUCAACCUCUAUCUUUCUCAAUGAAAAAUUUAAACUCUAAACUAUCUUUCUAUCUUUCUGAUGAAAAUUAUUUUAAAUGAGAAAACUGUUGAUAAAAUUUAUAGAUAUAACAAAAUAUCAAAGUUUAAGUCUAUAGUUUACUAUUAUUUGUGGAGGGGUCUAUUGAUGGAUUGCGAUAUUUUGAUAUGUUGGUAAAUAUUGGAUUGCGAUAUUUUGAUAUGUUGGUAAAUAUUUUGAUUCAUUUUCGAAGGUUGGUUGUCUACUUUCAAAUAAGAUUUGAAUUCCAUUUUUUCAAAUGUUUGACUAAUUUGUUCACGGUACCAUAGUUAUUUUUAACACUAAAAAUAACUAUUUUCGUGGUUUUGCAUGUUUGCUUAUUGACUCUUAGAGAGUUUUUAUUAUUAUUAUUAUUAUUUCUUUUUUUUUUUAACAUUGUUGAGAUUUCGUUGCCACAAAUAAUGGCCUUUCCAUCCAUUUUCAUAAUUUUUUUGGGGGGCUACAUCAGUUUUUGUUCAUUUGGAUUUGUGUUUAUUUGGUCUUUUUAACUUUUCAAAAGCAUUUAAUUGGUUUUUAAUUAAUUGAUUUCUAAACUUCUAAAUUUUGUGUUUUUGAGAGGUAGCAGUUUAAAUUAAAAUUUUAUCUAGUGGAAUCCUUUUUGUGUUUAGUAAAAAAUUGAAAGUUCAAGAUCAAAGUAGAUAGAUUAAAUAGUUAAGGAGUGUCAAAAUUCUGCAGUGUAUCCAUUUUUUUUAUUAUUCCAUUUCAUCUGCAUUUGAGAAUAGGUGAUAAUUUGUGCUUUAUCCUGUUGAUUUUUUAUUUUCUGCCAUUAUAACCGUCUUUUUCACUUGUUUUGUUUUUUUUAGUUCAGUAUAAGUUAUUUGAUAAUCACUGUUUACAAUUUUCCAAUUGUUUUAAAAUUCAUGAUUAGUUUUCAAAACAAAAUAAAAACGUAGUUCUAGUGAAUCAUCUUUUGUGCCAAUUUCAACGUUGAAUUUAACUCACUUUGGUUUUUUCUUUUUUCUCUUCCAUUAAUUUAUAUAUACCUUUCUAUCCUUUUUCCUUUUCUCAUAUUCUUGUUUCUAUACGUAUCUUCCUUUCUUCUAAUUUACCUCUUACUAUAUAUCAUUUUCUCCACCCUUCUAACAAAAAUAAGUUUUUCUAUCACUGAUGGUUCUCACAUUACUAUUAAUGAAUUUCUCUAUUUCAGAUGCCCACUUUUAAAAGAUGCUUUUAAAACCUAAGUCAAAUUGUAAAAGCUUCUUUCUAUUUGAUAGUUAUUUUGGUUUUCUGUUUUUCAACACAAAUUUUCAAAAAUCAAGCACCAAAAGUCAAAUCGAAAUAAUUGGUCUAAGAAAAGAAUCUUUUUGCUAUAUAUAUAUAUAUUUAUAUAUUGUAUGUCAUUUUACUUACAAAUGUAGAAAAAGCACAAUAAAAUACAAUUCAUUGUCUUUCUAUCAUUUUGCUAUAUUUUAAAAACAUUUAUUUAGAAUUAUUUUUCACUAUUCUUAUUGUAGUUUUAAAUUUGUCUUUUUUUUAACCGUGGAGUUAAGAAAGAAGGUAAUCAAUUACAUUUUCUAAACCCUACAAAUGUUAUCGAGUGAGACUUUUAAACAAUUUUUAACAAACGGGGCUCAGAGAACUAGUUUUCUAUAUUUUUAAAUUUUAAUUUAAUUGAAUUCAAAUUUCUCCUAUUAAAAUAAUCGAGCCGAACUAGGAAAUUCUUGUUUUUCAACGUAGAACCAUGCAAAAUAAAUAAAUAAAUAAAUAAAUAAAUAAAAAAAAAUGAUGAGCGAGUAUUUAGGAUUAGUGGUUAAUGAAAAGGAAACAAUUCAUGAUGACAUACUGCAUUUCAUAUAAUUCGUAUGAAAGCACGAAUGUUUUUAAUUAAUGAGUUAAUAGUCACUAAACAUAUAAAAAAGUAGAACAUAGAAAAAGCUUUUGUUCGUUUACAUCAUAAAUUUUGGAACUUGUUCACCACACCUCUUCAGCAAUUCCCCAUCAGCCGAUCCAUUGCAGUUUCACGUAUUAUUAGGAGCUUUUGUAAUAAUCGCUACAAAGGAGAAUAUUGAAACCUUGUAUUCCUAGUAACUAUGGUUUUAGGAAGCUGUAUUGAAAAGGAGUGGCUUAGUGUGUUUUUUCUCCUCAAGUUAUUCCUUAUGUUUUAUUUUAUCUACAAUCUAUUUUUGGCUACACGGUUUGUAUUGUCUGCUUCAUAGAUUAGUUUUCUCUUUCGUUUUUAGAAUUUGUAACUUAUGACUUUAACUUGGACUUCUAAGGGUUGUUUUGUUUUGUUUGUUUUAUGUAUGUUUAUAUAUAUAUUUAUUUUUUUGUAGAAUUAUCUUCAAGUAUAUAUUUUUCUUUUGUGAAUUGGUAAAAGUUCAAAGUGUUAUGUGAUUUCGACAAGCUGGUUUCCGGUUUCCGUGGGGCUAUUACAACCCACAGAACCAACUAUAUAAUAAUCUAUCGUUAACUA